GUUUCUGUAGUGUAGUGGUUAUCACGUUCGCCUAACACGCGAAAGGUCCCUGGUUCGAAACCGGGCAGAAACA
rnacentral:tRNA from 3 species